AGAGUUUGAUCAUGGCUCAGAUUGAACGCUGGCGGCAGGCCUAACACAUGCAAGUCGAACGGUAACAGGAAGCAGCUUGCUGCUUUGCUGACGAGUGGCGGACGGGUGAGUAAUGUCUGGGAAACUGCCUGAUGGAGGGGGAUAACUACUGGAAACGGUGGCUAAUACCGCAUAACGUCGCAAGACCAAAGAGGGGGACCUUCGGGCCUCUUGCCAUCAGAUGUGCCCAGAUGGGAUUAGCUUGUUGGUGAGGUAACGGCUCACCAAGGCGACGAUCCCUAGCUGGUCUGAGAGGAUGACCAGCCACACUGGAACUGAGACACGGUCCAGACUCCUACGGGAGGCAGCAGUGGGGAAUAUUGCACAAUGGGCGCAAGCCUGAUGCAGCCAUGCCGCGUGUAUGAAGAAGGCCUUCGGGUUGUAAAGUACUUUCAGCGGGGAGGAAGGUGUUGCGGUUAAUAACCGCAGCAAUUGACGUUACCCGCAGAAGAAGCACCGGCUAACUCCGUGCCAGCAGCCGCGGUAAUACGGAGGGUGCAAGCGUUAAUCGGAAUUACUGGGCGUAAAGCGCACGCAGGCGGUCUGUCAAGUCGGAUGUGAAAUCCCCGGGCUCAACCUGGGAACUGCAUUCGAAACUGGCAGGCUUGAGUCUUGUAGAGGGGGGUAGAAUUCCAGGUGUAGCGGUGAAAUGCGUAGAGAUCUGGAGGAAUACCGGUGGCGAAGGCGGCCCCCUGGACAAAGACUGACGCUCAGGUGCGAAAGCGUGGGGAGCAAACAGGAUUAGAUACCCUGGUAGUCCACGCCGUAAACGAUGUCUACUUGGAGGUUGUGCCCUUGAGGCGUGGCUUCCGGAGCUAACGCGUUAAGUAGACCGCCUGGGGAGUACGGCCGCAAGGUUAAAACUCAAAUGAAUUGACGGGGGCCCGCACAAGCGGUGGAGCAUGUGGUUUAAUUCGAUGCAACGCGAAGAACCUUACCUGGUCUUGACAUCCACAGAAGAAUCCAGAGAUGGAUUUGUGCCUUCGGGAACUGUGAGACAGGUGCUGCAUGGCUGUCGUCAGCUCGUGUUGUGAAAUGUUGGGUUAAGUCCCGCAACGAGCGCAACCCUUAUCCUUUGUUGCCAGCGAUUAGGUCGGGAACUCAAAGGAGACUGCCAGUGAUAAACUGGAGGAAGGUGGGGAUGACGUCAAGUCAUCAUGGCCCUUACGACCAGGGCUACACACGUGCUACAAUGGCGCAUACAAAGAGAAGCGACCUCGCGAGAGCAAGCGGACCUCAUAAAGUGCGUCGUAGUCCGGAUUGGAGUCUGCAACUCGACUCCAUGAAGUCGGAAUCGCUAGUAAUCGUGGAUCAGAAUGCCACGGUGAAUACGUUCCCGGGCCUUGUACACACCGCCCGUCACACCAUGGGAGUGGGUUGCAAAAGAAGUAGGUAGCUUAACCUUCGGGAGGGCGCUUACCACUUUGUGAUUCAUGACUGGGGUGAAGUCGUAACAAGGUAACCGUAGGGGAACCUGCGGUUGGAUCACCU
rnacentral:rRNA from 4 species